CUAGCCGUUCGCGUCCUGUGUUGAUUUGCUGCCGUACAACGCGCCCAACUGAGAAAGGAAACCUCGCGGCGAAAUGCGGCGGCGUUAUUUUGAAUCCCGGCGACCGCUCCCCCAUCCUGACCCCGAAGUAGCCCGAAAGGCGAGCGGACUAAACGUCUUUGUUUUAACUUAGGACAAAGUACAGAGUAGAUAUUUGGAAUGGUCACACGGUCUUGCGUUCGGCAGCAGAUGCCAGGAACGCGCCUCGGAGAUGUGUUUGGCUUUCAGCGCACACGCGUGCCAACAGGAAGUUGUGUAACACUGGCAGGAAGCGCGGCCGUGGCGGCCUCUCGGAGGAUGACCUCCGGCCACCUUGACUCGGCUCAACUUCCCGUCGGACUCUUCGGGGAACAUUCCGCACUUUAUUUUGAAAGCAAGCGUCAAAACAUGUCAAACUAAUGGUCAACAUGUUCAAGUGAUCCGCACUCGAAGCUAAUCUGAGCUCAUAUCGCCACGGAUGUCGUGGCCGCGCGUUUGCGCGUUCAGAGCCCGCACGCGGCCUGGUUCUGACCUGCUCGCUGGAGCUCAUCCGCAACAAGAUGUUGGCGCCGGCUCAAGGCCCGCUUCCUGGAGAACAACGGCGUCGCCAUCAACUUCCUGAGAACCGAGGUGGAUUCAUUUUCCAAAGCCUAAAACAGUCUACGGUGGAUUACGGAUGCAGGCUGGGCGAAGUGCGCGCGUGCAACUAAAUGUGGACAAUAUCAACAACCGCAAGGCCGGAUGUUCCGAGUCCUUUUCAGAUGAGCUACUGCAAGAGAUGACGACGUGCCGAUUAUGCCCAUCAGUUUCGGCGUCGGGGUUGGUGUCAGAAGUGGAUGAAUAUUAUCCCUAAUUUUGCCCCGUCCAUUUUGGGAGCUGCUUAUCCUCACUGGCGGUCGAGCGAGCGCUGGAGCCAAUCCCAGCUCUCUUCAAGCGGGAGGCGGGGCACGCCCUCAACUGGUCGCCGGCCAAUCACAGUUGAGAUAUUUCUUCUUCAUUUGGUGAUCAUUGUAUACAUUCCUGCCCAGCAUGAUUGGACGGUGUUCUAAAGUGACGUAACGCAAAUGAUGUUUUUUUUUUUCCUGACAUUAUUUGUCUUUUGCUGCACGUUGACGUUUUUUAUUAUUAGGCCCUAUUUAUGUUUAAAAAAGAAAACCUCAUACACAUGGUAAUCAAUUAAAUUCUGUUACUAACAAAGGCAUAAAAACCUGCCUUCAAUUUAUUUCAUCAAAAUCAAACGUGAACACCAAGUCCUGACCAAAGAAGGAUGCAGAUUUUUUUUUUAAAAUCAACGAUAAAAAGAAUGAUUAUUCUUUUGUUCAAGGCCUUAAGGAGAUGUUUGAAAGCUUCUUGGAUUCGACAGAACCUUUUCGUAUAAUGAGGAGCAUCCCGCCACAUCAGAGGUCUUCUUCAUUCUUCAUCGUGCUUGCGUCUGUUGCCAUGACGACACGACUUUUGAAACUCAGGCGCGAGCUCAACCAGAAACGUCGGAAAACAAGGCCCAAACAGGAAGUUGACAGACAGGAAGUGGGAAGUUGUCAUAGCAAUAAUAACCACAAGCACAAUCGCGCUAGCAAAUGAAUACAAACAUUUGUCCAGCCAAUUUCCAAGCUCCUUAUCCUCACAAGGGAGUGUCGGAGUCGAUCCCAAGCAUCUUCGGCAGGAGGCGGGGUACCAACACCCCGAAUAGGUCGCCAGCCAAUCUCGGGGCACACACAGAAAAAAAAUCAAGCUUGCGUGCAUGGUUUUUUUUUUGUUUUUUUUUUUUUUCUCCACACUUGGCUAGACCGGAUUUGAACCCGCAACCUCGCGUGUGAGUCAGAUGUGGUAACUGCUGUUCCGCUGAGAUGUCAAAAAUAUAUCGCUCACAUUUUGACAUAUUGCCACUAAAUUGUUCAUAUUCCACAGCCUGAUUUUUUUUUUUUUUUUUACGCUGUACAUUUAAAAACAUAUUUGGUUACUUUUUUUUCCACGUCUGUGUCCAAUAAAAUUUCCUUUUGUUCGUUUCAGACUUGCUCUUUUACUUGGAAGCAAAUCAUUUGUACUUUUUAAAGAACUUCACUCAGGUGAAGGAAAUCACUUUGGCUUUGGCGCCUUUGAGAGUUUGGACAA